CCUUCCGGUUGCAGCCUGAGGAAUCAGGCUGAUGGCUGGUGACUUUUUAGUCACCAGCCU
rnacentral:sRNA from 1 species